GGCGAGAGAAUGAUAGCCAGGCUGCAAGGGCUGCAGAAGGGCCGCGUGCCUGGGAGGCUUAGAGAGAGACUUCCGGGAUGAAAGGUUUCUAGGGAGAAGUGGGGCACAGCUCCUGUUGGCAGGGGGCUUAGGGCAGUAGGUGGGGAUGGGACAUGGGGUAUUGCCCUGGGACCACCACCCUAGGUUUACCAGUUUGUUUAGGGCUGGAGCAGAGAGGGAGGGUCAGAGACACUUGUGCUCGGCCCCUCCCCUGUCUUUUCACCCUAGACAACUUCCAGCUAUGCUGUGAAAAUCAUAUGCAAAUUAACUCAUUAGCUUGCCUGGCUAACACCUCAGACGUCUUCCUAAUGGAGGGAGCGGUGGACUGUACUUUCACAGGCUCCCUCAAACCCUCCUGAACAGCUUAAGGAGAGAAACAGGCAGAGCUGAGGGGCUAUUACUGAAAUAAGAGCCAAGCAUCCCGUGCUUAAAUGUACCUGUCUCUACUUAUCACCCCUAGUUGAACUCCGUGUCCUGGACUCCCCCUCUCCCCAUCCUGGGGCCUCCCAGAGGAGUUUCCCUCUUCUGUUCUUUUGGGUAAGAAGACAGAGCCAGGCUGUCGGGAGGGAGGGUGAAUCUAAACAUCCUGGAAAUGUCUGUCAGCAGCUUCGCAGGAGAAAGUCACCCCAGUGCAACCACGGAGCGUAAGAGUGUGGAGUGGUAGAGAAAGAGGGGCCAGGAGGAAGCUAGCAUGGCUUGCUGUGAUCCCGUCGUGGUGGCUAGGUUCAAAACAUUUUUACAUGACCAAAAAUCUUGCUGGCAGCCGCCCACCACUAGCGUAGAAUUUAGGUUGCUUUUCUGGUGUGAAGCAUGGCGUUGUGUUAAGUUCCCAAAUGGUUGCAGACCAGGAAUCACGCUUUUCCCUCUUUGCAGCUGUCUUCAGCGCUGUGCCUGGAGGUACCUCGAAUGCCCUCUUCAGAAGAGAGCGACGGGCGUGGCUUGUGGCCCAUUCAAGGAUGUGAAGUAGAGCGGCAGCAAUGGAUCGAUCCAUCAAUCUA
rnacentral:lncRNA from 1 species